GGUGCACCUGAUGACACUGAUUGGCGACCAAAGUCUGACAAAAAUGAUUGUACCCAUUGUCUGAUGCACC
ensembl:snoRNA